GGACGGUACUCUCGGAAUAAGUCUCGGCUAACUACGUGCCAGCAGCCGCGGUAAAACGUAGGAGGCGAACGUUAUCCGGAUUUACUGGGCGUAAAGCGCGUGUAGGUGGUCUGGUAAGUAGGGCGUGAAAGCUCCUGGCUCAACUAGGAGAGGUCGUUCUAAACUGCCAGACUUGAGGAUGGUAGAGGGAGGUGGAAUUCCGGGUGUAGUAGUGAAAUGCGCAGAUAUUCGGAGGAACACCAGUGGCGAAAGCGGCCUCCUGGACCACACCUGACACUCAGACGCGAAAGCUAGGGUAGCAAACGG
rnacentral:rRNA from 1 species